AGUUGUCUCUUCUCUAUAAGCGUUCGAGUUCCCUGGAAGCCUCUAGGAGGGAGUUAGGGUUUGGAACGCGAAGAGCACCGCACUUACGGCGGUGUCCGGAUCUUCCCCUCGGACCUUGAAAAUCCGGGCGAGGGCCACGAGGAACACCGCGCCGGCUCGUACCCAUAUCCGCAGCAGGUCUCCAAGGUGAAUAGCCUCUAGUCGAUAGAAUAAUGUAGGUAAGGGAAGUCGGCAAACCCGAUCUGUAACUUCGGGAUAAGGAUUGGCUCUGAGGAUCGUGGCGCGCCGGGCUUGGUCGGGAAGUGGAGCGGUGCCAACGUGCCGGGCCUGGGCGAGGUGAAGGGCGCUUGCCGCCUGGACCCUAGCUCGGUCCCGUGCCUUGGCCACCCACGGACCUU
rnacentral:rRNA from 1 species